GAUGAACGCUGGCGGCGUGCCUAAUACAUGCAAGUCGAGCGAACAGACGAGGAGCUUGUUCCUCUGACGAUAUCCGCGGACGGGAGAGUCACACGUGGAUAACCCACCUAUAAGACUGGGCAAACUUCGAGAAACCAGCGCUAAUACCGGAUAAUAAAUUGAACCGCAUCGUUCAAUAAUAAAAUACAGUUUUGUUGUCACUUAUAGAUGCAUCCGCGCCGAAUUAGCUAGUUGGUAAGGUAACGGCUAACCAAGGCAACGAUUCGUAGCCGACCUGAGAGGUGGAUGGGCCACACUGGAACUGAGACACGGCCCAGACUCCUACGGGAGGAAGCAGUAGGGAAUCUUCCGCAAUGGGCGAAAGCCUGACGGGGCAACGCCGGGGGAGUGAGGAAGGUCUUCGGUUGGUAAAACUCUGUUAUUGGGGAAGAACAAAUUUGUAAGUAACUGUGCACGUCUUGACGGUACCUAAUCAGAAAGCCACGGCUAACUACGUG
rnacentral:rRNA from 1 species